AGAGUUUGAUCCUGGCUCAGGAUGAACGCUGGCGGCGUGCCCAAUACAUGCAAGUCGAACGCACAGCGAAAGGUGCUUGCACCUUUCAAGUGAGUGGCGAGCGGGUGAGUAACACGUGGACAACCUGCCUCAAGGCUGGGGAUAACAUUUGGAAACAGAUGCUAAUACCGAAUAAAACUUAGUGUCGCAUGACACAAAGUUAAAAGGCGCUUCGGCGUCACCUAGAGAUGGAUCCGCGGUGCAUUAGUUAGUUGGUGGGGUAAAGGCCUACCAAGACAAUGAGGCAUAGCCGAGUUGAGAGACUGAUCGGCCACAUUGGGACUGAGACACGGCCCAAACUCCUACGGGAGGCUGCAGUAGGGAAUCUUCCACAAUGGGCGAAAGCCUGAUGGAGCAACGCCGCGUGUGUGAUGAAGGCUUUCGGGUCGUAAAGCACUGUUGUAUGGGAAGAACAGCUAGAAUAGGAAAUGAUUUUAGUUUGACAGAUAGCAUACCAGAAAGGGACGGCUAAAUACGUGCCAGCCGCCGCGGUAAUAC
rnacentral:rRNA from 1 species